UUUGUGCACUAAUGUCUGAACCACUAACUCCAGAGAUUCGUGGCUCUGUACCAAGGUAUUGGUUGCAGGGAGCGUUUUGGCUUUAAUUUGUUGAUUCGUAAUGCCUGUUAGGUUAGCUCUCGUCAAUGGUGAUUGAGUCUGGGACUGGUUUAACUUUAGGGUUUCUUUUGCGGUGGCACUUAGAUAUGGUUACCGAACUUGUUGUCUACGGAUAAUUUAGUGAGCAUGUCAAUCACCUUUAAACUUAGAAAACAAAACUACUCAAUUACCCCAUCCCCGGAAAUUUCUCAUCCAAUUGAUUUCUUUGUUUACUCUACUGUUGUUUAUUGCAUCUUUUUCCCUGUUGCUCAGUUUUUGCAUUUUUCUCCUGUUACUCGACCUGAUACUCGACCACCCAGUUGUCUAGCAACAGACUGUGCAGUCGAGUAUCCCUGUUACAUUUUCUGGUGUUACUCGACCUGUCACUCGACCACACUCAGUGCUUGGCAAAAAGCUGUGUUGGUCGAGUGUUUUUACUGUUCUGCUUGAAUUUCUGUUUCUUACAUGUUCACUUAGGACUGCUAGAACACACCAAAACUUGUUAUUGCUUUGCUUGACUCUGUGAACUCUGAUUGCAUCUUGAUUGCUAGCAUCACACCAAUUUGGAUUGACAACCUUCAGUACUACAAUGACAUGAUAGUGCUUUAGGAUUAAUUGAUCUUAAAAACCUAUUAUCAAUUUGGCGCCAUUGCCAAUUGGGUGUUUGUUUGUUAUAUUUGAGA
rnacentral:sRNA from 1 species